GGCGGGGACUGUGUCUGCCCACUCCAGUGUCUCCUCAAGGCCCAAGCCAGUGCCACACACACGGCCGGCACUCAGUAAGCGUCCGUCAGGUCUCACUUAAAGCCCAUUGAGAAAGAUCAUCCCAGUCACAUCUCACUUCCUCUUGGUGCGGGGCCCUUGGACAUUACACUGCGUGUGGCUUGGAAGAAGCUGUCCUGCUGGUGUUGUGCUGUGAGGUGAUCAUUCUGUGUUGCCUCCCGCCACGCCCCUGCCUCUCCAGCCUGAGGUCUGUGCUCCCUCUGAAGCCCUGAUGCAGAGUCCUGUAUGGAGUCCUCGGUGUGGCCAGGGAGUCAGUGAGAUGCCCAGAACAAGCAGGGCUGAAUCAGGCAUCAGGGGCCUUGCUCUCAAGGGAAGAGACACCUAAAGGGCCCAUAUGAAGAUACAAAGACUGGGACUUCCCUGGUGGUCCAAUGGUUAAGACUCUGAGUUUCCAAUGCAGGCGACAGGUGCAAGUUCGAUCCCCAGGCAGGGAACCAGGAUCCCACAUGCCAUGUGGCGUGAUAAAAAAAAAAGUUACAAGAACGAUAAACAAAAUGUGGUACCUGCACACAUAUAGCGGAACACUAUUCCUCCUUAAAAAAGAAGGGAAU